CCGGCCGGGGCAAAGGGGACUACUUGGCCCGCGAUUGACGUCCCAGUGCGAAAGCCAGGGGAGCGAACCGGAUUAGAUAGCCGGGUAGUGCUGGCCGUAAACGAAGGGGCAUAGGUUUAGGCGCAUCAAACUUUUGUGCCGAAGUAAACGCGAUAAGCACCUCGCCUGGGGAGUACGGUCGCAAGGUUGAAACUCAAAGGAAUUGGCGGGGGCCCGCACAAGCGGUGGAACGCGUGGUUUAAUUCGAUGCAAACCGAAGAUCCUUACCUGGAUUUGACAUGCAGGUGGUACGAACCUGAAAGGGCGAGGACCACAUCUUCGGAUGUGGAGCCUGCACAGGUGCUGCAUGGCUAUCGUCAGCUCGUGUCGUGAGAUGUUGGGUUAAGUCCCGCAACGAACGCAACCCCUGCGCCUAGUUGCCAUCAGUUAGGCUGGGCACUCUAGGCGGACUGCCGGCGACAGGUCGGAGGAAGGUGGGGAUGACGUCAAGUCAUCAUGGCCUUUAAGCCCAGGGCGACGCACGUGCUACAAUGGCCAGCUCAGAGGGCGGCAAGCCCGCGAGGGCAAGCGAAUCCCUUAAAGCUGGUCUCAGUUCGGAUCGCAGUCUGCAACCCGACUGCGUGAAGCCGGAAUCGCUAGUAAUCGCCGGUCAGCCAUGCGGCGGUGAAUACGUUCCCGGGCCUUGUACACACCGCCCGUCACACCACCCGAGUUGGGUACUCCCGAAGCCGCCGGCCCAACCCCUUUUUGGGGAGGGAGGCGUCGAAGGAGUGUCUGAUAAGGGGGGUGAAGUCGUAACAAGGUAACCGU
rnacentral:rRNA from 1 species